AAUCACUUUUGUUGGUCUUUUGUUUGAUGUAGGGAGGUGGAAUGCGCCAAAAGGAAGAAAUUGGCCUGUUGGUUUCAGCUUUUUCAACUUCAUCCUCAGAUAUGCUUCCCAAUGAACUUGAACCGGGAUUCAGAAAGUGAUGUAUAAUGAAAGAUGUCACAAGCAAUGUCAAGUUAAAGUUGGCGUAAAUUUGAGGCCAGGGACAGAAUACUCAGGCUUUUCUCACACAUGAGGAUCAUAACUGAUGCAAAAACUCAAAAGCGUGCAAGCUUUUUUGCAUGAUCUGAGGGUACGUUGUUCUGAGGUUCUGUUGCGGUAAACAUGCUAAAUGAUGGCUUUAAUUGUGUGUCACAUGAAUGAGUAUAUGCUUUUAAUAUCUAGA